GAUGAAGAACGCAGCAAAAUGCGAUACUUGGUGUGAAUUGCAGAAUCCCGUGAACCAUCGAGUCUUUGAACGCAAGUUGCGCCCGAAGCCACUAGGCCGAGGGCACGCCUGCCUGGGCGUCACACGCCGUUGCCCCCCCAUCUACUCCUUCGGGAUUGCGGGGGGGCGGAUGAUGGCCUCCUGUGCGCCUAGCCGCGCGGUUGGCAUAAAUACCAAGUCCUCGGCGACGCACGCCACGACAAUCGGUGGUUGCGAAACCUCGGUUGCCCGUCGUGUGCGUUCGUCGCGCAUCGAGGGCUCGAAAAAAUGCUCGGCUCCGGCUGGGCUUUCAACGCGACCCCAGGUCAGGCGGGGUUACCCGCUGAAUUUAAGCAUAUCAAUAAGCGGAGGA
rnacentral:misc_RNA from 1 species